GACGAACGCUGGCGGCGUGCUUAACACAUGCAAGUCGAACGGUAAGGCCCUUCGGGGUACACGAGUGGCGAACGGGUGAGUAACACGUGGGUGAUCUGCCCUGCACUUCGGGAUAAGCCUGGGAAACUGGGUCUAAUACCGGAUAGGACCACUGCCUGCAUGGGUGGUGGUGGAAAGCUUUUGCGGUGUGGGAUGGGACCGCGGCCUAUCAGCUUGUUGGUGGGGUGAUGGCCUACCAAGGCGACGACGGGUAGCCGGCCUGAGAGGGUGACCGGCCACACUGGGACUGAGAUACGGCCCAGACUCCUACGGGAGGCAGCAGUGGGGAAUAUUGCACAAUGGGCGCAAGCCUGAUGCAGCGACGCCGCGUGAGGGAUGACGGCCUUCGGGUUGUAAACCUCUUUCAGCACCGACGAAGCGCAAGUGACGGUAGGUGCAGAAGAAGGACCGGCCAACUACGUGUCAGCAGCCGCGGUAA
rnacentral:rRNA from 1 species